CCUACGGGAGACAGCAGUGAGGAAUAUUGGUCAAUGGGCGUAAGCCUGAACCAGCCAAGUCGCGUGAGGGAUGAAGGUUCUAUGGAUCGUAAACCUCUUUUAUAAGGGAAUAAAGUGUGGGACGUGUCCUGUUUUGUAUGUACCUUAUGAAUAAGGAUCGGCUAACUCCGUGCCAGCAGCCGCGGUAAUACGGAGGAUCCGAGCGUUAUCCGGAUUUAUUGGGUUUAACGGGUGCGUAGGCGGCCUUUUAAGUCAGCGGUGAAAGUCUGUGGCUCAACCAUAGAAUUGCCGUUGAAACUGGGAGGCUUGAGUAUGUUUGAGGCAGGCGGAAUGCGUGGUGUAGCGGUGAAAUGCUUAGAUAUCACGCAGAACCCCGAUUGCGAAGGCAGCCUGCCAAGCCAUGACUGACGCUGAUGCACGAAAGCGUGGGGAUCAAACAGGAUUAGAUACCCGGGUAGUC
rnacentral:rRNA from 1 species